rnacentral:rRNA from 1 species
GAUGAACGCUGGCGGCAUGCCUAAGACAUGCAAGUCGAACGAGGUGGCCCAAUGAAAAUGGAGUGCUUGCACAAAGUUGGAUUUGGUUUACCACCUAGUGGCAGACGGGUGAGUAACACGUGGGUGACCUACCUUCAAGUUGGGGAUAACAGUUGGAAACGAUUGCUAAUACCGAAUAAGAUAUAACUGUCGUGGUUAUAUUGAAAGGAGCCUUUAAAGCUUCGCUUAAAGAUGGGCCUGCGGCGUAUUAACUAGUUGGUGGGUAAUGGCCUACCAAGGUAACGAUGCGUAGCCGGACUGAGAGGUUGAACGGCCACACUGGGACUGAGACACGGCCCAG